rnacentral:rRNA from 1 species
UCCUACGGGAGGCAGCAGUGAGGAAUAUUGGUCAAUGGGCGCAAGCCUGAACCAGCCAUGUCGCGUGUAGGAUGACUGCCCUAUGGGUUGUAAACUACUUUUUUACAGGAAUAAACUUUUCCACGUGUGGAGAACUGAAGGUACUGUAGGAAUAAGGAUCGGCUAACUCCGUGCCAGCAGCCGCGGUAAUACGGAGGAUUCGAGCGUUAUCCGGAUUUAUUGGGUUUAAAGGGUCCGUAGGCGGGCUUGUAAGUCAGUGGUGAAAUCUCACAGCUCAACUGUGAAACUGCCAUUGAUACUGCAGGUCUUGAAUUUAGUUGAGGUGGGCGGAAUACGAUAUGUAGCGGUGAAAUGCAUAGAUAUAUCGUAGAACACCGAUUGCGAAGGCAGCUCACUAAGCUAAUAUUGACGCUGAUGGACGAAAGCGUGGGGAGCGAACAGGAUUAGAUACCCUGGUAGUCCACGCCGUAAACGAUGAUCACUCGUUGUGCGCGAUACAUUGUGCGCGACUGAGCGAAAGCAUUAAGUGAUCCACCUGGGGAGUACGUUGGCAACAAUGAAACUCAAAUGAAUUGACGG